UUCGGUGGUGAUAGCGGCGGGGUUACACCUCUUCCCAUUCCGAACAGAGAAGUUAAGCCCGCCCGCGCCGAUGGUACUCGGAGGGCAACCUCCCGGGAGAGUAGGUCGCCGCCGAUG
rnacentral:rRNA from 1 species